rnacentral:rRNA from 1 species
AUUGCCCCAGUAACGGCGAGUGAAGCGGCAACAGCUCAAAUUUGAAAUCUGGCCCCUAGGGCCCGAGUUGUAAUUUGCAGAGGAUGCUUUUGGCGAGGUGCCUUCCGAGUUCCCUGGAACGGGACGCCAUAGAGGGUGAGAGCCCCGUCUGGUUGGACGCCGAGCCUCUGUAAAGCUCCUUCGACGAGUCGAGUAGUUUGGGAAUGCUGCUCUAAAUGGGAGGUAUAUGUCUUCUAAAGCUAAAUACCGGCCAGAGACCGAUAGCGCACAAGUAGAGUGAUCGAAAGAUGAAAAGCACUUUGAAAAGAGGGUUAAACAGUACGUGAAAUUGUUGAAAGGGAAGCGCUCAUGACCAGACUUGGGCCCGGUGAAUCAUCCAGCGUUCUCGCUGGUGCACUUUGCCGGGCUCAGGCCAGCAUCAGUUUGCCUUGGGGGAUAAAGGCUGUGGGAAUGUGGCUCCUCCGGGAGUGUUAUAGCCCACUGCACAAUACCCUGGGGCGGACUGAGGUUCGCGCAUCUGCAAGGAUGCUGGCGUAAUGGUCAUCAGCGACCCGUCUUGAAACACGGACCAAGGAGUCGUCUUCGUAUGCGAGUGUUCGGGUGUAAAACCCCUACGCGUAAUGAAAGUGAACGCAGGUGAGAGCUUCGGCGCAUCAUCGACCGAUCCUGAUGUUCUCGGAUGGAUUUGAGUAAGAGCAUACGGGGCCGGACCCGAAAGAAGGUGAACUAUGCCUGUAUAGGGUGAAGCCAGAGGAAACUCUGGUGGAGGCUCGCAGCGGUUCUGACGUGCAAAUCGAUCGUCAAAUAUGGGCAUGGGGGCGAAAGACUAAUCGAACC